rnacentral:rRNA from 1 species
GACGAACGCUGGCGGCGUGCUUAACACAUGCAAGUCGAACGGUGAAGCGCUUGCCUUUUUGGUGGGUGUGGAUGAGUGGCGAACGGGUGAGUAACACGUGAGUAACCUGCCCUCUUCUUCUGGAUAACCUCAUGAAAGUGGGGCUAAUACGGGGUAUUCCGGGUCUAUCGCAUGGCGGGUUUGGGAAAGAUUGCGCCUUUGGGUGUUUUCGGUGGGGGAUGGGCUCGCGGCCUAUCAGCUUGUUGGUGGGGUGAUGGCCUACCAAGGCGGUGACGGGUAGCCGGCCUGAGAGGGUGGACGGCCACACUGGGACUGAGACACGGCCCAGACUCCUGCGGGAGGCAGCAGUGGGGAAUAUUGCACAAUGGGCGCAAGCCUGAUGCAGCGACGCCGCGUGAGGGAUGGAGGCCUUCGGGUUGUGAACCUCUUUCGCCAGUGAAGCAGGCCUGCUUCCUGUGUGGGUGGG